rnacentral:rRNA from 1 species
GAUGAACGCUAGCGGCAGGCCUAAUACAUGCAAGUCGAGGGGCAGCGCGGUAGCAAUACUGGCGGCGACCGGCGCACGGGUGCGUAACACGUAUGCAACCUACCUUCAACUGGAGGAUAGCCCGGGGAAACUCGGAUUAAUACUCCAUAACACAGGGAUCCCGCAUGGGAAUAUUGUUAAAGCUACGGCGGUUGAAGAUGGGCAUGCGUUCGAUUAGCUAGUUGGUGUAGGUAACGGCUCACCAAGGCUACGAUCGAUAGGGGGUCUGAGAGGAUGAUCCCCCACACUGGUACUGAGAUACGGACCAGACUCCUACGGGAGGCAGCAGUAGGGAAUAUUGGUCAAUGGGCGCAAGGCCUGAACCAGCCAUGCCGCGUGCAGGAAGAAGGCCCCUCUGGGGUUGUAAAACCUGCUUUUGAUAGGGAACAAAUGCCACUUGCGAGUGGAGCUGAGUGUACCUAUAGAAUAAGCACCGGCUAAC